rnacentral:rRNA from 1 species
CCUACGGGAGGCAGCAGUAGGGAAUAUUGCUCAAUGGGGGAAACCCUGAAGCAGCAACGCCGCGUGGAGGAUGAAGGUUUUCGGAUUGUAAACUCCUUUUGUUAGAGAAGAUAAUGACGGUAUCUAACGAAUAAGCACCGGCUAACUCCGUGCCAGCAGCCGCGGUAAUACGGAGGGUGCAAGCGUUACUCGGAAUCACUGGGCGGAAAGAGCGCGUAGGCGGGAUAGCAAGUCAGAUGUGAAAUCCUAUGGCUUAACCAUAGAACUGCAUUUGAAACUGUUAUUCUAGAGUAUGGGAGGGGUAGGUGGAAUUCUUGGUGUAGGGGUAAAAUCCGUAGAGAUCAAGAGGAAUACUCAUUGCGAAGGCGACCUGCUAGAACAUAACUGACGCUGAUGCGCGAAAGCGUGGGGAGCAAACAGGAUUAGAUACCCCAGUAGUC